rnacentral:lncRNA from 1 species
UAUUUAUUUGAAGGAUUAUGCCAUAAAAUCAAGCCUGAUGCUAUCGAUUCUACUGGGGGAAGACACCUUUGAAGUCUACACCGCAGAGUUUUUUUUAUAAAAAUAAAUUGUACA